rnacentral:rRNA from 1 species
GACGUAGGAUGCAAGCGUUGUCCGGAAUUAUUGGGCGUAAAGCGCGUGUAGGCGGCUAGGUAGGUCCGUUGUGAAAACUCGAGGCUCAACCUCGAGCUGUCGAUGGAAACCAUCUGGCUAGAGUCCGGAAGAGGAGAGUGGAAUUCCUGGUGUAGCGGUGAAAUGCGCAGAUAUCAGGAAGAACACCCGUGGCGAAGGCGGCUCUCUGGGACGGUACUGACGCUGAGACGCGAAAGCGUGGGGAGCGAACAGG